GUGUCAAAGUGAAACGUUAGAGAUAUCAACUGUCAAACUUAGUACUUAAGGAAAUCAGAUGUUUUGUACUUAAUAACCUAUAAUAAACUUGUACCAUUAUACCAUCAAUCCCAUAGAGGAUUAUCUGUUGGCUUCUACUUUGGUUGAUGAGAAUAUAGUUCACCACCCACCUUUUCCGCUGCCAUUGGUUCCAAGACGUCACCCCUCCCUAUUUCCAGGCCCAUUGCCAGGUGUCUUUGCAGUUCUGUCCACUUGCGUGUCCCCAUUCUGACUUUGGGUUCAGCCAUGUGACAUCCUUUGGCUAAUGGGAUGUUCACAGGCAUGAUGCAAGCAGGGAUUAGAAAAGUGCAUCUGUAGUAGGGUCUGCCCUCUUGUACUCUACUAGUACCUGGCUAGCCUGCUGGUCUCAGGAGAAGGCUAAAAUAUGUAGGACAACACUGUCCCAUUGUCUUAUCCACCUGCAGAGAGAAGCAAAGCCAUCUGGCCAGGUCCAUCCCAGAUCAGCUGGAUUCCAAUACCUCUGCAGAUGGUGUCCUCAUGACUCAAAUCAAUGAUUUUUGGAGCUGGGAAAAAUUCAAUAUUUAAUCUCAUCAAAGUCACUUUCCAACUUCAGCAGUGAAAAACUACAAGAAAGAGAGUUCAUUUGGAAUCUACUCAGACAGAAGGUUGAGGUUCAGAUCAGGCAUAGUACAGCUUCCUGUUUGUCCUUGCACAAUCAUUCUACAGACCUCGUAUCUCCUCAGCAGGGUGGUCAGAGAGCAAGUGGAAGCAUAUCUAUCUGUCAACAAAUUCUUCUGAAAGCAGGAAAAAUUGACCAAAUUCUUAUGAGAGAGAAAUCGAUUCUUCCAGAAUGCCAUUAUCAGUAGCUGAACAUGCACAUUGGCAACAAGUUUCUAAAUGAUGCAGACGACCACGUGGUCCGCCCCACAGACAUUCUCGGAGCAAGCCUAUCUGAGAGCCAGAAU